UAGGAAGACAGGAAGCAGUCAGACCCACU
rnacentral:piRNA from 1 species